rnacentral:rRNA from 1 species
UACGUAGGGUGCAAGCGUUGUCCGGAUUUAUUGGGCGUAAAGAGCUCGUAGGCGGUUGGGUAAGUCGGGUGUGAAAACUCCGGGCUCAACUCGGAGACGCCACCCGAUACUGCUCUGACUUGAGUCCGGUAGGGGAGUGGGGAAUUCCUGGUGUAGCGGUGAAAUGCGCAGAUAUCAGGAGGAACACCAAUGGCGAAGGCAGCUCGCUGGGACGUGACUGACGCUGAGACGCGAAAGCGUGGGGAGCAAACAGG